GAUGAAGAACGCAGCGAAAUGCGAUACGUAAUGUGAAUUGCAGAAUUCAGUGAAUCAUCGAGUCUUUGAACGCACAUUGCGCCCCCUGGUAUUCCGGGGGGCAUGCCUGUCCGAGCGUCAUUGCUGCCCUCAAGCACGGCUUGUGUGUUGGGCCUCCGUCCUCCUCCCGGGGGGACGGGCCCGAAAGGCAGCGGCGGCACCGCGUCCGGUCCUCGAGCGUAUGGGGCUUUGUCACCCGCUCUGUAGGCCCGGCCGGCGCUUGCCGAUCAACCAAAACUUUUUUCCAGGUUGACCUCGGAUCAGGUAGGGAUACCCGCUGAACUUAAGCAUAUCAAUAAGCGGAGGA
rnacentral:misc_RNA from 1 species